rnacentral:rRNA from 1 species
AGCCAGUCCCGCCGCCCCCGCCCGCCUACGGGAGGCAGCAGUGGGGAAUUUUGGACAAUGGGCGCAAGCCUGAUCCAGCAAUGCCGCGUGAGUGAAGAAGGCCUUCGGGUUGUAAAGCUCUUUCAGUUGAGAAGAAAAGAUUGUGACUAAUAAUUGCAAUUCAUGACGGUAUCAACAGAAGAAGCACCGGCAACACG